GCAGCCUGAUGCAGCAACGCCGCGUGAGGGAUGACGGCCUUCGGGUUGUAAACCUCUUUUAGUAGGGAAGAAGCGAAAGUGACGGUACCUGCAGAAAAAGCACCGGCUAACUACGUGCCAGCAGCCGCGGUAAUACGUAGGGUGCAAGCGUUGUCCGGAAUUAUUGGGCGUAAAGAGCUCGUAGGCGGUUUGUCGCGUCUGCUGUGAAAUCCCGAGGCUCAACCUCGGGCCUGCAGUGGGUACGGGCAGACUAGAGUGCGGUAGGGGAGAAUGGAACUCCUGGUGUAGCGGUGGAAUGCGCAGAUAUCAGGAAGAACACCGAUGGCGAAGGCAGUUCUCUGGGCCGUAACUGACGCUGAGGAGCGAAAGCGUGGGGAGCGAACAGGAUUAGAUACCCUGGUAGUCCACGCCGUAAACGUUGGGCGCUAGAUGUGGGGACCAUUCCACGGUUUCCGUGUCGCAGCUAACGCAUUAAGCGCCCCGCCUGGGGAGUACGGCCGCAAGGCUAAAACUCAAAGGAAUUGACGGGGGCCCGCACAAGCGGCGGAGCAUGCGGAUUAAUUCGAUGCAACGCGAAGAACCUUACCAAGGCUUGACAUACACGAGAACGGGCCAGAAAUGGUCAACUCUUUGGAC
rnacentral:rRNA from 1 species